rnacentral:tRNA from 1 species
AAUAUAAUAGGACAAACUAUAAUCCGUAGACCUUCAAAGUCUGAAAUAAUCUGAAGGAUUUUAUAUUG